AUUAACCUGUAGGGUGGUGAUGCUGAUGGCUACCCCAUGGUUUAGAUAAGUGCAGAAAAUAGUGCUUUAUAUUUGGCAAGCCCAGAACCAGGAAAAGAAGUGUUCUGUAGUUGGAUUUGAUCACGGAUCUGUUGGGCACACCAUCACUGGAAGCAAUGAGGACAGCUUGUGAAGGCGCUAAGGCACAUAUACUCAGGGGUCCUCAUAAACAGCCAUCUCUUCCUGUACUCUAUACCCUGUCUAGCCAGGCUACACAUGAAGCUGUUCAUCUCCUUUGCAGGAUGUUGGUCUUUGAUCCAUCCAAAAGAAUAUCCGCUAAGGAUGCCUUAGCCCACCCCUACCUAGAUGAAGGGCGACUACGAUAUCACACAUGUAUGUGUAAAUGUUGCUUUUCCACCUCUACUGGAAGAGUUUAUACCAGUGACUUUGAGCCUGUCACCAAUCCCAAAUU
rnacentral:sRNA from 1 species